rnacentral:rRNA from 1 species
CAGCCGCCGCGGUAAUACGUAGGUCCCGAGCGCUGUCCGGAUUUAUUGGGCGUAAAGCGAGCGCAGGCGGUUAGAUAAGUCUGAAGUUAAAGGCUGUAGCCUAACCAUAGUACGCUUUGGAAACUGUUUAACCUGAGUGCAGAAGGGGAGAGUGGAAUUCCAUGUGUAGCGGUGAAAUGCGUAGAUAUAUGGAGGAACACCGGUGGCGAAAGCGGCUCUCUGGCUUGUAACUGACGCUGAGGCUCGAAAGCGUGGGAAGCAAACAGGAUUAGAUACCCCUGUAGUCCCUGUCUCUUAUACA